rnacentral:rRNA from 1 species
GACGAACGCUGGCGGCGUGCUUAACACAUGCAAGUCGAACGGAAAGGCCCUGCUUUUGUGGGGUGCUCGAGUGGCGAACGGGUGAGUAACACGUGAGUAACCUGCCCUUGACUUUGGGAUAACUUCAGGAAACUGGGGCUAAUACCGGAUAGGAGCUCCUGCUGCAUGGUGGGGGUUGGAAAGUUUCGGCGGUUGGGGAUGGACUCGCGGCUUAUCAGCUUGUUGGUGGGGUAGUGGCUUACCAAGGCUUUGACGGGUAGCCGGCCUGAGAGGGUGACCGGCCACAUUGGGACUGAGCUGCGGCCCAGACUCCUACGGGAGGCAGCAGUGGGGAAUAUUGCACUAUGGGCGGAAGCCUGAUGCGGCAACGCCGCGUGCGGGAUGACGGCCUUCGGGUUGUAAACCGCUUUCGCCUGUGACGAAGCGUGAGUGACGGUAAUGGGUAAAGAAGCACCGGCUAACUACGUG